rnacentral:rRNA from 1 species
AUUCUAGGUAGAAUUAUGAUAAUGACAUUAUUUGCCUAUAUGUCUUGACCAAAUUACGUGCCAGCAGUCGCGGUAAUACGUAGAAGACUAGUGUUAUUCAUCUUUAAUAGGUUUAAAGGGUACCUAGACGGUAAAUCAAGCCUGCGAGGGGACUAAUUUACUAGAGUUACUUGUGAGGGGGUAUUAAAGUACUAAUGGUGUAGAGAUGAAAUUCUGUCAUACCUCUUUUCGUAAGAAAAAUUACGGCACAGGUAUAGGCGAAAGCAUCCCCUUAUGUGAUAACUGACGUUGAAGGACGAAGGCUUUGUGUCGCGAACAGGAUUAGAUACCCCAGUAGUCAAAGCAGAAAAUGAUGAAUGUCAUAGAUUAGACAUAUAAUAGUUUAUUCUAUAAAUGAAAGUGUAAGCAUUCCACCUCAAGAGUAAUUUGGCAACAUUGGAACUGAAAUCAUUAGACCGUUUCUGAAACCAGUAGUGAAGUAUGUUGUUUAAUUUGAUAAUCCGCAAAAAACCUUACCACAACUUGAAUAUUUAUAUUUUAUAUUUUAUAGAUAAAAUAGAUCUAUAUGAGUAAAAAUAUAUUUACAAGCGUUGCACGGCUGUCUUCAGUUAAUGUCGUGAGAUUUUGGUUAGUUCCUAUUAA